GCUCUAUAUAUAAACUCAUUUUCAAUCUACAAUGUUAUUGACGUUAUUAAAUGUUUUACAGCAUGUACAUACUGUGCAGCAUGUACAUGUACAUGUACUGUAAAGUUACAAAUAUCUGAAAAUGAGCCAUAUUUGUUAUUAAUCUGCCCGUGCUCAAUUGGAUUUCACUUGGAUUUCUCAUGAAGUUGCACAAAUUUUUUUUUCUUUCCCCAAGUGCUUGCAGGAAUUUUUUUCUAGUUCAACUCCUUGCAUGAAUUUUUUUUGCAUCUGCCACCCCCCUCUCAGGAUAUCUAAUGGUCCACCCCUUAAUUGAAAUACCUCUAUGUACCUUCAUUUAGGUAUCUUGUUACCCAGGCGUUAUAUUAAAACUUGAACAGUUUGUGCUACCAGGGUUUUUUCCAGGAUUUUCUCUUGGGUCCGUUUUUGCAGAGAAGAUUGAGUUUAGCUGAACAGCUGGGGUGGCUGCACCCCCCCCCCCUCCCCCCUACCAGGGGGG